rnacentral:rRNA from 1 species
ACCUUGGUAACUGAGGCUAAUACCGGAUAGAGGAAAUAUACUGCGAUGUUUUUUCCUCCAAAGCUUCGGCACUUAAGGAUAGGUCGGCGGCGGAUUAGGUUGUUGGCGGGGUAAUGGCCCACCAAGCCGAAGAUCCGUAGGGGCCUUGAAAGAGGUAGCCCCGAGAAGGACACUGAGAUACUGGUCCUAGCCCUACGGGGUGCAGCAGUCGCGCAACCUUGUCAAUGCACGCAAGUGUGAACAGGGGAUCCAGAGUGCUCAUGUUCUACAUGGGCUUUUGCCAAGAGUUAAUAUCUUGGCGAAUAAGCGGUGGGUAAGACUGGUGCCAGCAGCCGCGGUAACACCAGCGCCGCGAGUGGGAAUCGUAUAUUUGGCCUAAAGCGUCCGUAGCCGGUUUGGCAAAUCUUCUGUGAAAUUGGGCAGCUCAACUGUCCAGCGCGCAGGAGACACUACCAGACUUGGAACCGGGAGGGGUACAGAGUAUUCCAGGGGAAGCGGUAAAAUGCUAUAAUCCCUGGAGGACUACCUAUGGCGAAGGCACUGUACCAGAACGGAUUCGACGGUGAGGGACGAAAGCCAGGGGAGCGAUCCGGAUUAGAUAUCAAAAAUCUCGGAUUUUUGAUUUUAGUCAAAAAUCAUCUUUCUUCGUUCGCGAAACACUACUGAAGAUGGUUGCGAGGCUAAAAUCGGAGUCAAUCCGAAAUCGGGAUUUUUGACUAAUUACCCGAGUAGUCCUGGCCGUAAACGCUGCGAGCUAGGUGUUGCGCAUUCCACGUGAAUGCGCAGUAUCGAAGCGAAGGUGUUAAGCUCGCCGCCUGGGAAGUAUGGUCGCAAGGCUGAAACUUAAAGGAAUUGGCGGGGGAGCACUACAAUGGGGGUGCGGCGUGCGGUUUAAUCUAAUUCAACGCAGAGAACCUCACUAGGAGCGACGGCAGAAUGAAGGCCAGGCUGAAGACCUUGCUAGACAAGCCGAGAGGUGGUGCAUGGCCGUCGUCAGCUCGUGCUGUAAGGUGUCCUGUUAAGUCAGGCAACGAGCAAGAUCUGUACCCAUAAUUGCCAGCGUGUUCAUUGAAUGAACGGGCACAUUAUGGGGACUGCCCUGGAAACAGGGAGGAAGGUGCAGGCUACGGUAGGUCUGUAUGCCCCGAAUCUCCUAGGCUACACGCGCGCAACAAUGGCAGGAACAAUGGGCCACGACCCCGAAAGGGGAAGUUAAUCCUCGAAAUCCUGCCUUAGUUUAGAUUGAGGAUUGGAACUCAUCCUCAUGACAACGGAAUCCCUAGUAAUCGGACGUUAGCAUCGUCCGGUGAAUAUGUCCCUGCUCCUUGCACACACCGCCCGUCAAACCACUCGAGCAGGGUUUGGGUGAGGUCUGCCUUCUUAGGCAGCACGAAUCUAAACUCAGUGAGAUGGGUUAAGUCGUCACAAGGUAGCCGUAGGGGAACCUGCGGCUG